rnacentral:rRNA from 1 species
AACCUCUGCAAUAGGCGAAAGCUUGACAGGGUUACUCUGAGUGAUUUCCGUUAAGGAGAUCUUUUGGCACCUUGGUGCAGAAUAAGGGGUGGCAAGCUGGUGUCAGCCGCCGCGGUAAUACCAGCACCCCGAGUGGUCGGGACGUUUAUUGGGCCUAAAGCAUCCGUAGCCGGUUCUACAAGUCUUCCGUUAAAUCCACCUGCUCAACAGUUGGGCUGCGGAGGAUACUAUAGAGCUAGGAGGCGGGAGAGGCAAGCGGUACUCGAUGGGUAGGGUAAAAUCCGUUGGGUCCAUUGAAGACCACCAGUGGCGAAGGCGGCUUGCCAGAACGCCUCGACGUGAGGGGAUGAAAGCUGGGGGAGCAAACCGGAUUAGAUACCCGGGUAGUCCCAGCUGUAAACGAUGCAGACUCGGUGAUGAACAGUGCCG